GGGGCCUUAGCUCAGUGGUGUAGAGCGCUGCCUUUGCAAGGCAGAUGUCAGGAGUUCGAAUCUCCUAGGCUCCA
rnacentral:tRNA from 1 species